rnacentral:rRNA from 1 species
CGCGUAGAAUCUGCCUUCAGGUUCGGGACAACCACUGGAAACGGUGGCUAAUACCGAAUGUGCAGCAAUGUGAAAAAUUUAUUGCCUGAAGAUGAGCUCGCGUCUGAUUAGCUAGUAGGUGUGGUAAGAGCGCACCUAGGCGACGAUCAGUAGCUGGUCUGAGAGGAUGAUCAGCCACACUGGGACUGAGACACGGCCCAGACUCCUACGGGAGGCAGCAGUGGGGAAUUUUCCGCAAUGGGCGAAAGCCUGACGGAGCAAUACCGCGUGAGGGAGGAAGGCUCUUGGGUUGUAAACCUCUUUUCUCAAGGAAGAAAAAAAUGACGGUACUUGAGGAAUAAGCAUCGGCUAACUCCGUGCCAGCAGCCGCGGUAAUACGGAGGAUGCAAGCGUUAUCCGGAAUGAUUGGGCGUAAAGCGUCCGCAGGUGGCUAUGUAAGUCUGCUGUUAAAGAGUCUGGCUCAACCAGAUAAAGGCAGUGGAAACUACAUGGCUAGAGUGCGUUCGGGGCAGAGGGAAUUCCUGGUGUAGCGGUGAAAUGCGUAGAGAUCAGGAAGAACACCGGUGGCGAAAGCGCUCUGCUAGGCCGCAACUGACACUGANGGACGAAAGCUAGGGGAGCGAAAGGGAUUANAUACCCCUGUA